rnacentral:rRNA from 1 species
AACGAACGCUGGCGGCAUGCCUAACACAUGCAAGUCGAACGAGACCUUCGGGUCUAGUGGCGCACGGGUGCGUAACGCGUGGGAACCUGCCCUUAGGUUCGGAAUAACUCCCCGAAAGGGGUGCUAAUACCGGAUAAUGUCUUCGGACCAAAGAUUUAUCGCCUUUGGAUGGGCCCGCGUUGGAUUAGCUAGUUGGUAGGGUAAAAGCCUACCAAGGCGACGAUCCAUAGCUGGUCUGAGAGGAUGAUCAGCCACACUGGGACUGAGACACGGCCCAGACUCCUACGGGAAGCAGCAGUGGGGAAUAUUGGACAAUGGGCGAAAGCCUGAUCCAGCAAUGCCGCGUGAGUGAUGAAGGCCUUAGGAUUGUAAAGCUCUUUUACCCGGGAUGAUAAUGACAGUACCGGGAGAAUAAGCGCCGGCUAACUCCGUG